rnacentral:rRNA from 1 species
GAUGAACGCUAGCGGCAGGCCUAAUACAUGCAAGUCGAACGGUGCCUUCGGACAUAGUGGCGCACGGGUGCGUAACACGUAUGCAACCUACCUUACAUUGGGGGAUAGCCUUUCGAAAGGGAGAUUAAUACCGCAUAAGACAGUAGCUGGGCAUCCAGCAGCUGUUAAAGAUUUAUCGAUGUAAGCUGGGCAUGCGUCCAAUUAGCUAGUUGGUGAGGUAACGGCUCACCAAGGCAAUGAUUGGUAGGGGAACUGAGAGGUCAAUCCCCCACACUGGCACUGAGAUACGGGCCAGACUCCUACGGGAGGCAGCAGUAGGGAAUAUUGGGCAAUGGACGCAAGUCUGACCCAGCCAUGCCGCGUGCAGGAUGAAGGCGUUAUGCGUUGUAAACUGCUUUUAUACAGGAAGAAACGACUCUUGCGAGAGGCAUUGACGGUACUGUACGAAUAAGCACCGGCUAACUCCGUGCCAGCAGCCGCCGUAACAC